rfam:Bombyx mori DNA, contig: Bm_scaf6_contig5821, strain: p50T/Dazao, build 2, whole genome shotgun sequence.
GUGACUCAAAUUUGUAAGGAGUUUGAAAAGCUUCUCUUCGUUUACCGCUAGGGGCGCUGUUCCAACUUCAUACAAAUUUCGAGUUA